rnacentral:rRNA from 1 species
GACGAACGCUGGCGGCGUGCUUAACACAUGCAAGUCGAACGGAAAGGCCCUGCUUUUGUGGGGUGCUCGAGUGGCGAACGGGUGAGUAACACGUGAGUAACCUGCCCUUGACUUUGGGAUAACUUCAGGAAACUGGGGCUAAUACCGGAUAGGAGCUCCUGCUGCAUGGUGGGGGUUGGAAAGUUUCGGCGGUUGGGGAUGGACUCGCGGCUUAUCAGCUUGUUGGUGGGGUAGUGGCUUACGAAGGCUUUGACGGGUAGCCGGCCUGAGAGGGUGACCGGGCACAUUGGGACUGAGAUACGGCCCAGACUCCAACGGGAGGCAGCAGUGGGGAAUAUUGCACAAUGGGCGGAAGCGUGAUGCAGCAACGCCGCGUGCGGGAUGACGGCCUUCGGGUUGUAAACCGCUUUCGCCUGUGACGAAGCGUGAGUGACGGUAAUGGGUAAAGAAGCACCGGCUAACUACGUG